GACGAACGCUGGCGGCGUGCUUAACACAUGCAAGUCGAACGGAAAGGCCCUGCUUUUGUGGGGUGCUCGAGUGGCGAACGGGUGAGUAACACGUGAGUAACCUGCCCUUGACUUUGGGAUAACUUCAGGAAACUGGGGCUAAUACCGGAUAGGAGCUCCUGCUGCAUGGUGGGGGUUGGAAAGUUUCGGCGGUUGGGGAUGGACUCGCGGCUUAUCAGCUUGUUGGUGGGGUAGGUGCUUACCAAGGCUUUGACGGGUAGCCGGCCUGAGAGGGUGACCGGCCACAUUGGGACUGCGAUACGGCCCAGACUCCUACGGGAGGCAGCAGUGGGGAAUAUUGCACAAUGGGCGGAAGCCUGAUGCAGCAACGCCGCGUGCGGGAUGACGGCCUUCGGGUUGUAAACCGCUUUCGCCUGUGACGAAGCGUGAGUGACGGUAAUGGGUAAAGAAGCACCGGCUAACUACGUG
rnacentral:rRNA from 1 species